UACGUAGGGUGCAGGCGUUAAUCGGAAUUACUGGGCGUAAAGCGUGCGCAGGCGGUUUCUUAAGUCAGAUGUGAAAGCCCCGGGCUUAACCUGGGAACUGCGUUUGAAACUGGGAGACUUGAGUGUGGCAGAGGGGGGUGGAAUUCUACGUGUAGCAGUGAAAUGCGUAGAUAUGUGGAGGAACACCGAUGGCGAAGGCAGCCCCCUGGGUUAACACUGACGCUCAUGCACGAAAGCGUGGGGAGCAAACAGG
rnacentral:rRNA from 1 species